rnacentral:lncRNA from 1 species
UUUGUUUCCCCAAAUUUCUUCUGCAAAUUGAAAAUUUCACUCUCUUUCUCCGUCAACAUUUUCUCCACUUCAGAAUCUAUCUAUCUAUCAAUUAUAUAAUACAAUACAUAUUGGAGAGCUGACAAUGAUUCUCUAUCCUAUGUGGCGCUCCCUAAGCUCUCUAUUCUGUUUUAUCUAAAUUCUACUACCUUUUACUCAAAAAAAAACUCACGCUUCUCAGUUCUCACAGCAAUCAAUCCCUAAUUUGGUAUUUUCUCGGCAUAGCUUGAUCAAUGGCUCAAAUCUCUCUCUCUCUCUCCAUAUCAAUGCAAACGCCCUAAUUUGGUAUCUGACGCCUUACCAUAGGAGCCUCCAUGGUAUGCCAGCUCUUCUCUGACGCCCUACCAUAUAUGCGCCUCUCUUCCCCUCCCAAAUCUAGAAUCAUAAGUCGUCGCCGCCGGCUUCGUCUCCUUCAGUCGCUGCCGCCGCCGGCUGCAGCUCACCAGGGAAUGCCCCAUUCUUUGCAAGAUUGAGCUCAAACAUGUUUGGUUCCGAUCCAGGAUCGUAGGUCAGUGACAAAAAUCUUACUCUUGAUUUCUGAGAAUCAUUCAUCAAUUUAAUUAUCAUUUGGAUUCUUGCUUUCUUUUUUAUUUUACCGAUGUAAGUUUCGCUUUUUAUUAUGUUAAAUUUGGAGAUGGAAUAUUGCAUUUUUUAAUUGGGCGGAGGGAUGAUAUUCUUAUAUUAUGAAGUUUCGCUUUUUAUGAUGUUUAAUCCUCAAAAACAUUAUAUAUUGUCCAUAUAGGCAAGCUGGAAAGCAAAUACGAGGUGUCAUAAGCUCUGCUUAUAAGAUAUAAAGGCAAGCAAAGCAAGAGAUAUAUAACCAGCCUCCAUCCUAUCUGGAUUUAUGUAUACACAGGAAAAUACUUCAUGCACACAUUAUUCUCCGUAUCAUUCUAUGUAUUGGAAAUUGUUCCCAUUUUCUG